rnacentral:rRNA from 1 species
GGGAUUGCCUUAGUAACUGCGAGUGAAGCGGCAAAAGCUCAAAUUUGAAAUCGGUGCCUACCAAUCGCAUCGAGUUGUAAUUUGGAGGGACAACUUCGGGCUGAACCACACCGCAAGUUCCUUGGAACAGGACGUCAUAGAGGGUGAGAAUCCCGUGUCUUGGUGUCGGGUCAACCCAUGUGAAGUGUCUCCGACGAGUCGAGUUGUUUGGGAAUGCAGCUCAAAAUGGGUGGUAAAUUUCAUCUAAAGCUAAAUAUUGGCGAGAGACCGAUAGCGCACAAGUAGAGUGAUCGAAAGAUGAAAAGCACUUUGAAAAGAGAGUUAAAAAGUACGUGAAAUUGUUGAAAGGGAAGCGCUUGCGACCAGACUCGAUCUUUGGUGAUCAGCCGGGCUCCGGUCCGGUGCCCUCACCAUUGAUUGGGCCAGCAUCGGUUCCGACGGCGGGAUAAAAGGAGGCGGAAUGUAGCUCCCUUCGGGGAGUGUUAUAGCCACCUUCACAAUGCCGCCAGUUGGGACCGAGGACCGCGUUUCGGCUAGGAUGCUGGUGUAAUGGUCUUAAGCGACCCGUCUUGAAACACGGA